CGUAGGGUGCGAGCGUUGUCCGGAAUUAUUGGGCGUAAAGAGCUUGUAGGCGGUUUGUCGCGUCUGCUGUGAAAAUCCGGGGCUCAACCCCGGACUUGCAGUGGGUACGGGCAGACUAGAGUGUGGUAGGGGAGACUGGAAUUCCUGGUGUAGCGGUGAAAUGCGCAGAUAUCAGGAGGAACACCGAUGGCGAAGGCAGGUCUCUGGGCCACUACUGACGCUGAGAAGCGAAAGCGUGGGGAGCGAACAGGAUUAGAUACCCUGGUAGUCCACGCCGUAAACGUUGGGAACUAGGUGUGGGCCUCAUUCCACGAGGUAUGUGCCGCAGCUAACGCAUUAAGUUCCCCGCCUGGGGAGUACGGCCGCAAGGCUA
rnacentral:rRNA from 1 species